AGUCAUGCGAGCAGGACUGUCUCGAGUAGUCCGACGAGGAGAUAAGUAUAUAUUUGACCCCGAUAAACGAUGAGGAGACGGCACAGAUUUAUGGGGGGAUUGAAUCCAUACAGCAGCAUUUGUUGCAUAUCCAGGAGAUUGAGCGCUUUUUGUAGGAGUUU
rnacentral:ribozyme from 1 species